AACGAACGCUGGCGGCAUGCCUAACACAUGCAAGUCGAACGAGAUCUUCGGAUCUAGUGGCGCACGGGUGCGUAACGCGUGGGAAUCUGCCUUGGGGUACGGAAUAACAGUGAGAAAUUACUGCUAAUACCGUAUGAUGUCUUCGGACCAAAGAUUUAUCGCCCUGAGAUGAGCCCGCGUAGGAUUAGCUAGUUGGUGGGGUAAAGGCCUACCAAGGCGACGAUCCUUAGCUGGUCUGAGAGGAUGAUCAGCCACACUGGGACUGAGACACGGCCCAGACUCCUACGGGAGGCAGCAGUGGGGAAUAUUGGACAAUGGGGGCAACCCUGAUCCAGCAAUGCCGCGUGAGUGAUGAAGGCCUUAGGGUUGUAAAGCUCUUUUACCCGGGAAGAUAAUGACUGUACCGGGAGAAUAAGCCCCGGCUAACUCCGUGCCAGCCGCCGCAGUAAAAC
rnacentral:rRNA from 1 species